rnacentral:rRNA from 1 species
UACGGGGGGGAGCAAGCGUUGUUCGGAUUUACUGGGCGUAAAGGGCGCGUAGGCGGUCGUGACAAGUCACUUGUGAAAUCUCCGGGCUUAACUCGGAACGGUCAAGUGAUACUGUCGGACUAGAGUGCAGAAGGGCAACUGGAAUUCUCGGUGUAGCGGUGAAUGCGUAGAUAUCGAGAGGAACACCUGCGGCGAAGGCGGUUGCUGGCUGGACACUGACGCUGAGGCGCGAAAGCCAGGGAGCGAACGGG